rnacentral:tRNA from 1 species
GCCCGAGUGGCUCAGUGGUAGAGCACAUUCUUGGUAAGAAUGCGGUCGUGGGUUCGAUUCCCACCUCGGGCU